rnacentral:rRNA from 1 species
AGGACGAACGCUGGCGGCGUGCUUAACACAUGCAAGUCGAGCGGAAAGGCCCUUCGGGGUACUCGAGCGGCGAACGGGUGAGUAACACGUGAGCAACCUGCCCUUAGCUUCGGGAUAGCUCCGGGAAACCGGAAUUAAUACCGGAUAUGACUAUGGCCGACAUCAGCCAUGGUGGAAAGUUUUUCGGCUAGGGAUGGACUCGCGGCCUAUCAGCUAGUUGGUGAGGUAACGGCUCACCAAGGCGACGACGGGUAGCCGGCCUGAGAGGGCGACCGGCCACACUGGGACUGAGACACGGCCCAGACUCCUACGGGAGGCAGCAGUGGGGAAUAUUGCGCAAUGGGCGAAAGCCUGACGCAGCGACGCCGCGUGGGGGAUGAAUGCCUUCGGGUUGUAAACCCCUUUCAGCAGGGACGAAGCGAAAGUGACGGUACCUGCAGAAGAAGCGCCGGCUAACUACGUGCCAGCAGCCGC